rnacentral:rRNA from 1 species
UCCGUAGGUGGAUAAUUAAGUCAGAGGUGAAAUCCUGCAGCUCAACUGUAGAAUUGCCUUUGAUACUGGUUAUCUUGAGUCAUUAUGAAGUGGUUAGAAUGUGUAGUGUAGCGGUGAAAUGCAUAGAUAUUACACAGAAUACCGAUCGCGAAGGCAGAUCACUAAUAAUGUACUGACACUGAGGGACGAAAGCGUGGGGAGCGAACAGGAUUAGAUACCCUGGUAGUCC